GACGAACGCUGGCGGCGUGCUUAACACAUGCAAGUCGAACGGAAAGGCCCUGCUUUUGUGGGGUGCUCGAGUGGCGAACGGGUGAGUAACACGUGAGUAACCUGCCCUUGACUUUGGGAUAACUUCAGGAAACUGGGGCUAAUACCGGAUAGGAGCUCCUGCUGCAUGGUGGGGGUUGGAAAGUUUCGGCGGUUGGGGAUGGACUCGCGGCUUAUCAGCUUGUUGGUGGGGUAGUGGCUUACCAAGGCUUUGACGGGUAGCCGGCCUGAGAGGGUGACCGGCCACAUUGGGACUGAGAUACGGCCCAGACUCCUACGGGAGGCAGGAGUGGGGAAUAUUGCACAAUGGGCGGAAGCCGGAUGCAGCAACGCCGCGUGCGGGAUGACGGCCUUCGGGUUGUAAACCGCUUUCGCCUGUGACGAAGCGUGAGUGACGGUAAUGGGUAAAGAAGCACCGGCUAACUACGU
rnacentral:rRNA from 1 species